rnacentral:lncRNA from 1 species
CUCUUUUCUAGGUAGAAUUGGUGGGGAAUGAAUGAGACAGGUCCUCUAUGAUCCUAACUUUUGCUUCCAUUUAACUACCUUUUUUCUCUGACUGUAUUUCACUUCUGCCCUCAAUUGGAACUUUUAAUGCCAGAGCUCUGUUUAUUUUAACCCCUCCUAAAUGGUAAAACUCCACUCAAAAGGCAGCAUGGGAUGAAGAAGUCUGGAUGUUAAAUUUACUUUAAAAAACAACCAACAAUAAAAAAUUAAAAAAAAAAAACAAAAAAAACUUUUCUAACUGUUCUGCCUCUUUUGAUUCUUCCCCACAUAUAUAUAUUAUAGAUAUCUAUGUAGAUAUCUAAAUAUGACUCAACAAUUCCUUAACCUUUCUGGGGUUGUUUAAAAUGUAUUUGUUUCUUUUUCACAGCAUUUAUUUGAUCUUAAAAAUCACUAAGCACUCACCCUGGAUUUGUUCUUCUAAAUCUUUGUUGAAAUCACACAGCUGAUAUUGUCUCCUUGUGUUCCUUUGACUGCAAUUUUUAGUCACAAUUCCUUUUCUGUCAUUUUAGCAGUGUUUUAGGAGAAAGCAGAAACAAAAAAAAAAGUGUGUAUUCAAUUUGUUCUGUUUAACUGGAAGCUCCCUAAACACCCUUUAAAACCUUGAUUAAUUCUGAUAAUCAUUUUAUUCCAUCAAACCUAUGUGAAUGAUACUCAUUCUCAUUAAAUCUGUUUUUGUUGUUAUUUGGUUAGUGUCUUAAAUCUUGAAAUUUGAGGAGUGGAUUGAUGUUUGAAUUGGAUAUGAUUUUAGUGAUCAUUUCCUAUAAACUUUCCUUUUAUACGUGAAGACAUUGAGACAAAAGAAAACUUAAAGAUUUGGUGUGUCUUCGUUUUUGCUACCAAACAAACAUCAUAAAUUUAGUGUCAUAAAACAACAGUUUAUCUCUUUGUGACUCUGGGAUGGCUGGACUGUUUUCUGCUAUUUUUCUGGGCUAAUUGGGCAUUUGUUCAGCAACUGAAUGGGCUUGUUGACAUGUAUAGAAGUUGUUGCUAGUUGUGGGUUCUCUGCCACAUGGCCUCAUCUUUUAGUAGGCUAUACUAGCUUCCUUAUUACAUGCCACUCUUGGCGUACCUUUAUGAAAGGGCAAGCACCACUGCAAAAGUGAUUAUUCAUCCUCUGCUUAUGUCCCCUUGAAUCUUAUAUUUCAUCACUAAAAUUCUCUAACUUCAUAUUUAGUUCCUCUUCAAAUUUUAAUAUCACUGAAAGUCCCAUGCUUUGCCAUGAAACUGAUUAGAAAGUUGAUUAGUAAACAUGGCAUUAGAAAGGACAUCAGUGAUCUUGGGAAAAUUUAACUUUUCCAUGCUUCAUUUUGCUUUUCUAUAAUGAGAAAAAAAUAACUACCUCAUGAGGUGUUUUGAGAAUUUAGUGUGGUAAGGCUGACUACUGUUGUUAUGAUCACAUGGUAAUGUUAAGGACUUAUUAAGUUGUUAUUAACUAAUUAACAACUAGUCGAAGUGCUAGAUCCAUCCAUUUUAAGUGAAUUUGCUUAUAUACUGUAUUUUCACUAUGUAUUGGUUCACAGUUUUAAUUUUUAAAACCAGUGCGUGAGGAGUACAGUUAACUUUCAUUACCCUUACCCAAUCCUCCUCAACUCACUUUUCAUUUCCUAGCUCUGUCUAGCAUCACCUAUUUCUCAUGUCUCUAAUUAUUGCCAUCACCAAUGUUACUACACUUCUAAAGCUAUUAUUUGUGACCUCUUCUAUUUCAGUAGGCUUUUAAAUGAUCUUAAGACGUCUAUCCUCUUCCUGUCUAGUCUUCAGUCAAACUAAACAUUAAAAAUUCAAAUCUAAUCAUGCCACCUCCUUACUUCCUUAAACUCUUUUCAUGGCUGUAGGAUAAAGUACAAAACCCUUCAGGGACCUUCUUAAUUAGACUUUAUGAACAGUGUUAUAAAUGAUGACAGUUUGUGCCAUGUUUCCCCUUCUCCAAACAUUUAGGUCUUAACUUUUAUUUCUCAGUUUGGUAUAUUAUAUGCACUGUUUUUCCUUUCUGCUUGUAUCUUCCAGCUAAGUACUUCUUAUUCUUUCUCUUAGGGCACUGACAUCUUUUUUUAAACUUAAGUGUUGACCUAAUUGGUAGCUAAAGAGACCAUUAAGUUAAAUAACACUGGUUUUAAGAGCUGUGGGUUCAGAGAAAAGCAUCUUUCCACUUUCUCAGACCUAAACUAAUUCACCUAAUGCCUGUACUUUGAAAGUUAGUAGUAUUACUUUGUGAUUUUAGGGUGGACCCUAAAUUUUUAAUAUCCGUAGAAAUUUUGUGAAAGUUCAGUAAUAUUUGUUAUCCUUUACUUCCUUUUUUAUCAGUGCUCCAGGGACUAAUAUCUGCCUCAAAUAGUAAACAAUGAGAGAUAAUUAGAAAAAUAAAAAUCUAAUUUGCAUAUUAACAUAUAUAUGUAUGUGUAAGUGUGUGUGUUAUAUAAACAUUUGUUGAUUUAUAAAUGAAUCGACCAUGUUUGGGGGUAAAAAUCAUUAAGUUAGAUCUGCAAACUUUUUUCCUGUUUGUAAUCACACAUAAUAAAUUUCUCUGGUUCUGAAACAAUAAAAUACUACUUGCAGUUUUAGAUUUAAAAUUUUAUUCUGAUGGAAUAAUUUGUGUGGGUCUUUUAAGUCCGUAUAUUUUAUAAAUGGGUUCCUUUCUUGGCACUUGUACCCAAGACUGAUGGAAAUGAGCCAAAUCUAAAUUGAGCUCUUGCACUGAUAUUCUCCAUUCUUCUUUUAUAUGAUUAGGUGUGGCAUAGUAGAAGGGUAUAGACUUUGGACUGAGAUAGAUAUUCCUGGGUUCAAGUCCAAGUUUCAAAAUUUAAUAUGUGAGCUCCUUUAAUUUAAUAUGUGAUUUCCUUGUCAGUUACAUGCUGUCCUCAUCUGUAAAGAUUACUAAUUAUUUGAGAGUUAUGGUAACUAAAUUUAGAUAAAUAAAAAAAAAAUAUUUCUGGCAUUACUAAGUACCUAAGGUUUGCUAGUUUCCCAGAAUACUCUCAAUAGAGAUGAGAAGAACUUUUAGUUUGUUCCCCAGUCUGUCAACCAAACACACCCUGUUUGAUUCAAUAAUUAAAUAUUAGCUUUAUUUAACUUUUGUAAGCUGCAGUUAGCAAAAGAUGGCAACCUGUGGGUCAAAAGACUAGAUCAUAUUAAGAUGAUCCUUCUAAUUUGAGGUAUUUUAUCACAACCAGGUAGCUAUCAUCACUUGGAAUUUGAUGCUUUAGGUGGCUUAGUGUUGUCUUUGGCUAUAAAACUGAGAAUCUCUUGUAUCAUAUUUUACUACCUUGAAGAAUUUUUUUUAAAUGGUCCUUCCGGUAGUAUCAGUUUCUCAUUGUCUCAAUUCAUCGUAUUACCUACUCUUAUUUGGUCUUCUUUUUUAAGAAUAUAAGUUGUAUUCAGUGUUACUACAUAUUGCUCAUAGAUUGACUGGCCUGAUGUCUUUCUUCACCUCAACUACUGUGGCUUUUUUCUCUUCUUGCUAUUUAUAUAUCAUGGUAUCUCCUCAGGGUUAACUGCUAUUGUGAGAAAUUACUAGAAAUCAUCUUUAAACAAGACAAAUUUGUUCUUGGCUCUUUUCCUAUUUGGUCAUAAUUGUUUAUGCUAAUAUAUUGUCAGACCUGACUCUGUAUGUAUAUGUAUUGAGAUAGAAAUCACUUAACAAAGACUUUAAAAAUUAAUCAUUUUAAAGCAUGCAAUUUAGUGACAUUUAACACAUUUGUAGUAUUGUACAACCAUCUGUCCCGUUCAGAGCAUUUUCAUUAAGACCAAAUAAGACUGAUACCCUUUUAAAAGCAGUCAUUUCCCCUUUUCUGUUUCUGUGGAUUAAACAUACCAAACAUCAUAGGCUAGCAACCCAGUAUACUCUAUAGACUAUACUUUGCCCUCUCAAAGCUGACUAGGUGCUUUGGCUUACUGUUGCUUCCUAUCAUUGAAAGAAAAUAUUUUACUUUUAGCCCAGGAAAGAUCAAAAUUUAAAACUGAAUGUCUUAUCACUUUUGUACUAUAAUAAAGUCAAAGAAUUGGAAGUUG